ACACAUAAACACACAAGCAGAUUAAAAUAGCUAGAUUUACCAGCAGAGGUAGCAUAACUUCUGUAUCAACAUGGGAAAUAUCAGUGUAAACAACAGUUCUUGAAAAAGAGAAUGGAGAGAGAGAGUAUCAAACUUGUGAAUCCAUGAAGAGAAUCCAGUAACCUUAUUCCUGGAAAUUUGCAACAAGUUUGGAGGCCGUAACCCCAUAGUACCAUCGACACCCUGUGGUUCUCCCUUAUCCAUGCUCCUGAAAGCACAUAGCUGAAAAUUCAAUGUUGACUUCAGGUUGCAACUUAGGAAAAGCCAACCAACACAUUUCAAAUGAGUUGACAUAAGGAUCAAGGUCAAGGCAAAGAAGAGGUCAAAGGAGGGAGGAAUGGGAAAGAAAAGACUGCCCAAUUUGCACGUGGCUGGGUGAACACAAGUGUCCUGAGUCUCACUACUGUUCUGCUGCUGGUAAAAAUGGCAAAGUAAUGGCAAACUGUUAUCUCAGAGUUCCACAGCGGACCUGCAAGAACAACUUUGCUGCUAUCUGCUCCCUGCUAAAAUCUCCAAAGUUUUUCUCCACCUCUGUUGCUUGUUGCCACAGGAAAGAUUCUCCUCUAUUCUCUUCUUUUAAAAACGCUCAAGAGGUCACAUGUGAAAACAAGCAUGAGAAAAGCUAAUAGGGUAAAAAUAUUAGAACAAUUUUUUCUCUAAAUUGUGAAGGAAAUGUCUUCAAUAAAAUAUGUGGGUUCAACAGUUAAUCAAAUUAUGAAAGGAGCAUUCACUAAGGUGAUGCUAUUGGAGAAAAAUACCCUCCAAAUUAAUUCCUUGUGUCAACAUUUAUUGCGAAAGAGGCCAGAGAGAUUCCUACUCCACAGCUACACUUUACCAGAGCAUAAGCCCACAGGGCUGCUUCCAUCAGGAAUUCCUAAGCAACUGAAAUAAACAACUAAUAAAUUAUUAUAUGUGAAUAAUAGUCUGUCAUUUAAAUGACUUGAGUUACCUGAAGAAUGGAAAGUGGCAAAUAUGACACCAAAAUUUUAAAAGAUUUUCUAGAUUAACUCAGACAAUUCCAAACCAAUAAAUUAUAUUUAUGUAAGAGCAAAUCUGUAGGAAUAUUCCAUUUCACAGAAUGAGUAAUAAAAGAGAAAAACAUGAUAUACUAGGAAAAAGCCAACCUAGCCUUUGCAAGGAGAAGUCAUGACUCAUAUAUCAGUCAUCUACAGAGGAGCCACUGAGCAUAUGGUUCAGGUGAAAGUAUAAGAAACAGAUGGUAGGAGUGGGUAGCUGGUUUUCAGAAAGAAAGGAGCUCAAACAUAUUCUACAUGUGAAAAAUGUGCCAUUUGACAUAUUCAUAAAUGGAUAUUCCUUGAAUGAUAAGGAGACAAAAAUCUGAAAAUGAUCCAGAAUUAUUUGGGAUAAUCUAAAGCUGAUUGUGAGAAGUUGUCAAGGAACUCAAACUUACAAGUAGAUUAUAAACAGUUAGAUGAAAUGAUAUGUUAAGAAGUGGAAUGUGAAGUCUAGGAAAAGAAAUAACCUACAAGUAUUAGUAUAGGAUGGCCAUCAGUUUAAUUACUACCAUUCUGGAAAGAGAUUCUGUAGCUGUAAACUGUUCUUCAAAACAACAGCUUAGCAUUCAGCAGUGUCUAUAAAUAUAACUAGAAUCUGAAGAAUAAUUAGGAAAAUAUUUAGGAGCAUAACAGAAUACAUAAUUAUGUCCCAGUGUAUAUUAAUCAUCUAUUAAUAUUUCAAGAUUACAUUAUUCUAAAUUUAAGGACACCGGGGUCCUAUGAAUGCCCAAGCAAAAGAAAAAGGUAUAACAGAAUUAUCAAGGAUCCAGACGAAGACAACAAAAAUAAGCAGAGAUGUGGAUUGUCUUUUGCAUAGCUAGAAAGCAAAUAAAAAUAAAAAGAAUUUGGAAAAAUAGGUUACAGCACAAGUGAGACUUGUGGAAUGGAGAUGAUCAAUAACAAACAACUGACAGUGCAAGUAGUAACACCAAAUGAAAUUGUCAGAGUGGACUUUGAAAGACACAAAAGGUAUACUUUUCAUGCAAAAAGGUAUGGUUCUUAAAACAAGUUUAGAAGGGGACCUGAGAAAUUCAGGCAGGCUAGAUCCACUGCUGGCCACUGCUCAUGAUGAGCUGUAACCUCCAGAAUAAGUCAGCCAUUUCUUGCUGGAGGCUGGCUCACUCUACUCAUUGCUCAAAGGAGAUGUGAGUCUGGGCUCACGCCUUCUGCCUACAUUUACAUUCAACAGUCAGACAUGAGAAAACUGGAAAAUUAAGGUUCUCUGUGCAACUUUUAUUAAAAAUUCCUUUUCCAAUAAGUAUUGUGACAUAAGUAUUUAUUACUAUUUAUUAUUAUGGUUUUGCUCUUUUCAUCUCCUGCAAUGUUCUCCCUUUCCUUGUAUAAGUCCAGGAACAGUUUGGGAACAGAGCAAUGCUGCAUAUGAAGGCGGCCCUGGCGGAAUAUAUUUUCACCAGUUGCAGUUGUCUGGUGACUGCCAUGGGGAACUGCAAGAAAAUAACAGAUCAAAUGAAGUCAAAACCCCUUGAAUACAGCCUGGAGAACCCUCUCCUACUGUACCUUAGCUUGUGUGCCAAGGAUGUCUUGCAGGCAGACAUCCACAAACCUCCUGCCUUUGAACUGCAUAGCAUCAGCAUUGUAAUUGUAGCCAAACUAUGAGUGCUAGCUGGUAGCAUGUUUUCCAUACUCUGCUCCCUCCUUGGGAUCUCAGACUCCUUUCUUAAAGAAGGACUUAACCCCAGUCAGUUUGAUGGAAUUCAGGAUCACAACCAAGAGGACAUACAGCCAUAAAACAUCAGAAAGUCACAUCAAAUUGGAGUUUUUACAGCUCAUCCCUAAUUUUUACUACAGUACCAGGGAAUCUGAUUAAGGAAAGUAUUAGGAACUUGCAAUUUCAGCUAAAGGCAGUAAGAUUACAUAGGCUGUUAUGUGGUGUUUAGUGCUGUGGGACGUCUGAUCUUUCUGUGUCUCAAAUUCUGCUGGCUAAUCACUGGAAACAUUUGUUUUCACAUAUGUGUUAACCACUCUGGCUCUUGCAUAAUAGUCAUGCCACUCUUCAGCUCCUAAAGUGUGCCAUUUGACAUAUUCAUAAAUGGAUAUUGGAAAUAAUUAAUUAAUAUGUAUAUGUCACUCAGUUGUGGAUAUAAUGAGUGUGACUGAAAAGAAAAAUGUGUUCUUCUGUCUUUAAAUCUACAUUUUAGCAACAAAGAUGGCCUGAUGUUGUAGAAUGAAAGGGAAAACCAAACCCAGAAUAUUGACUACAUUUUUCUUAAGACCGUUUUGCAUGUUGAAUGAAGUAGGUAGUAUGUAAGGAAUUAUUUUGUAUUUGAAGACCAUAAUAAAGGACAAUAAUAAAAAUAUGUGCACAAAACCAUACAAUGGCAAUCCUAAUUUUGACAUUUCCUAGCUACUGAGAGCUUUCAUUGAAAGCCUGCUUUUUGAAUGUGUGAUUUGUGUGUAAUAAAACCCAUGAGCUUUAUAUCA